ACAAGCCUGAGAAACGGCUAGUAGGACUAAGGUCUGCAGCAGGCGCGAAACUUACACAAUGCUAGAUUACAAUUCAUAGCGAUGUAGUGAAGAAAAAUAACGAUGUAUUGGUCUUUUAACAGACUAGUACAAUUGGAAUGAGACGACUUUAAAUCAGUUAGUCGAGUAACAAAUGGAGGGCAAGUCUGGUGCCAGCAGCCGCGGUAAUUCCAGCUCCAUUAGCAUACAUUAAAGUUGUUGCGGUUAAAACGCUCGUAGUUGAAUUUUUAGCGGUCUCCCAUGAGUGGCGGUCGUUAAGGGUGUAGACUUCGGUCUAUCACCUGAUCGUCUUACUUCACUAGGAGGCCGUUGUUUCGUCACUUAAUCGAGUGCGAAGCGGGGUAUGUUUGCUUAGGUAAGUUCGCUUACCAACAAUCGUACCACCUUUACCUUGAGAAAAUUAGAGUGCUCAGAGCAGGCAGUUGGGAUCGAAAGGUUCCUUUAUGCUUGAAUAAUGUUGCAUGGAAUAAUAGAAUACGGCCUCGGUUCUAUUCUGUUGGUCUUAUAGAACAACAAACAAGUUGGUUGUGGCAUCAAAUAGUUUUUGGUUGGUUGUGAUUGUAGUCUACAGCUUGUUGUCUAGAGCCUCAAAACUUUAGUACCUUCUGUACUCAAUCAUCAAAGCAAUCGCCAUAUAUAAACUAGCCUACCAGCCAACUGAGGCAAUGGUUAAAAGAAAUAGUCGCGGCGGCAUCAGUACUGCAUCGUGAGAG
rnacentral:rRNA from 1 species